AAGAGACCGGCGCCUGGACGACUUUCAGGGGAGAGCUGGAAGAAAGACUGUCAACAGCUGAGUGCGGGCGCCGGCGCCGUCUACGCAGUGCGUUCCACCGGGUCCGUAUCCCUCCCGAUUCCGCCCCACCCCGCCCUCGGAACUCGCUGCCUCAACUCCUGCGGUGGGACUCCGGAGCAGCGUACACCGCCCUUGCCUUAGUCCUCCCCAAGGCCAGGGCAGCUGUGCGGCCUGGCGCGGGUUACUUGGUGUGGUGCAAAAAGCCAGAAGGAGACACAUUUGGUCCUGGCCACCCCGGAGUCACCCAAACCAAAAGGAUAAUGAAUUGGAAAAGAUCACAAGGAGGUUCACCAUGGAGCUAGCAAAGAAGGGCUUUAUUGUGUGGCCACAUAGAUUUUGGUAUAAAGUGGGAACAUCUAAAAAAAUCUUUUUUUUUUUUUUUUGAGACAGAGUCUUGCUCUGUCGCCAAGAUUGGAGUGUAGUGGUGCGAUCUCCUCCACCUCCCGGGUUCAAGCAAUUCUCUUGUCUAAGCCUCCCGAGUAGCUGAGACUAUAGGCAUGUGCCACCAUGCCCAGCUAAUUUUCGUAUUUUUAUAGAGAUGGGGUUUUGCCAUGUUGAUCAGGCUGGUCUUGAACUCUUGACCUCAGGUGAUCCACCCAUCUCAGAAUCCCAAAGUGCUGGGAUUACAGGCGUGAGCCACUAUGCCCGGCCUCCUACUAUUUGUAAUAGGAGAUAGGGUCAGAUAAGGGAAUAAAAGCAGGCUGCCCCAGCCAGGGGCAGCAACCAGCUCAGGUCCCCUUCCACACUGUGGAGGCUUUGUUUUUUUGCGCUUUGCAAUAAAUCUUGCUGCUGCUCACUCUUUGGGUCCGCACUGCCUUUAUGAGCUCUAACACUCAUCGCGAAGGUCUGCAGCUUCAUUCUUGAAGUCAGUGAGACGAAGAAC
rnacentral:lncRNA from 1 species